GAUGAACGCUGGCGGCGUGCCUAAUACAUGCAAGUCGAGCGAAUGGAUUAAGAGCUUGCUCUUAUGAAGUUAGCGGCGGACGGGUGAGUAACACGUGGGUAACCUGCCCAUAAGACUGGGAUAACUCCGGGAAACCGGGGCUAAUACCAGAUAACAUUUUGAACCGCAUGGUUCGAAAUUGAAAGGCGGCUUCGGCUGUCACUUAUGGAUGGACCCGCGUCGCAUUAGCUAGUUGGUGAGGUAACGGCUCACCAAGGCAACGAUGCGUAGCCGACCUGGGAGGGUGAUCGGGCAUACUGGGGAUGGAACAGGGCCCAGGUUCCUACGGGAGGCAGCAGUUGGGAAUCGUCCGCAAUGGACGAAGGUCUGACGGAGCAACGCCGCGUGAGUGAUGAAGGCUUUCGGGUCGUAAAACUCUGUUGUUAGGAAAGAACAAGUGCUAGUUGAAUAAGCUGGCACCUUGACGGUACCUAACCAGAAAGCCACGGCUAACUACGUGCCAGCAGCCGCCGUAA
rnacentral:rRNA from 1 species